GCAUUCUAGGCCAAGGGGUCACAGUCCACCCUGAACUGUGCCUCCCAGCCUGAAGCCAGAAAGCUCAGGGAGGCUAGCGGCCCUGCCCAGGCCUCAGCACUGACCCUGCACCCCUAGGCCCAGCUGGAUGACCCCUAAGAGCUUCCUGGAAUUUGGAUGCAGGGUUAUUCUGUGUGUGCUGCCUCUCAGAGCAUGUCACUUUGACGUGGACAUCUCGGGUCUGGUUCUGGUGCUGUCCCUGUCUCGCCACGUGACCCUGGAUAAGUCAUCUCUCCAGGCCUUGAUUUCCCCAUCUGUAAACAGAGGUGAGUGAAAUGAUCUUUAAAGGCGUGUCAGUCCAUUUUGCAUUGCUAUAAAGGAAUACCUGAGGUUGGGUAGCUGGAACCCAAGGAACGAGUGGGCUCUAACUGCUGCAGCAUAUGGGAGAUGCCAGGAGGAGCUGGCUGUGGCAGGCCAUCCCAGUCCAUCAGACAACUUGUAGUGGAUGAAGAUGCAGUGUCCAUGGCCAGAAGAAACUCCCGUGGAUGCUCAGGCCAAGGCUGCCAGAAGCACGAGGAGGGGCAGCAUUGAGUGUCAUCGGGAAAAGGCAAAGUGAUGGUCCUGAAGCUGCCCCAUGUGGCCAGUCCCUUUUUGGGAAGCCUGAAUAAAUCCAUUUCCUGUGCACUGUGUGGGAAGCCAACCCCUCUUCAGAGCACCUCUGAACUCAACAGGAUCCUACACUUCUUAUAGGCCUGGCUUGAUGCUGACAUCCUUCAGCCCCAGGGAAGACCUAAAGAUCUCCAGGUCUUGAGGCACCUGGAACACCUCCACCUGAGACCACUUUAACAUGAUUUCUCUGCUUGAGGGAUUUUGGACCAUGCUGUGUGUAUUCAGCCCUAAAACAUGGGCGAGUGCCCGCUUGCAGUUCAAAUUCUCAGAGGAAGUUCCCUGUACUCCACCCAGUGCCAAGUUUAGUUUGUGCAAAUUUCCUUAAUGUCCCCUCCUGUACAACAGGCUUAUUUGGUGUUAACCCUCAUAUCGGGGGUCUAACUCUUUGCUUUUCCAGCUUUUGUGCUGGAAUAUCCCAUUAAACUGUCCAUGUUGGGUAUUUUUUCUUUGUUAGUAAACAUUUGUUGCAUAUUGUUGAUAGCAUUUUAGAUUUGAAGAAAUAACUGACAAAAUCA
rnacentral:lncRNA from 10 species